rnacentral:tRNA from 1 species
GGGGAUUUAGCUCAGUGGUAUAGCACUUGCCUAGCAAGCACAAGGCCCUGGGUUCGGUCCCCAGCUCCA